UACGGGGGGUGCGAGCGUUGUCCGGAAUCACUGGGCGUAAAGGGCGCGUAGGUGGCGUGAUAAGGCUGUGGUGAAAGCCCGGGGCUCAACCCCGGGUCUGCCAUGCCGACUGUCAGGCUAGAGUACUGUAGGGGCAGGCGGAAUUCCGGGUGUAGCGGUGGAAUGCGUAGAUAUCAGGAGGAACACCGGUGGUGUAGACGGCUUUCUGGACCGUAACUGACGCUGAGACACGAAAGCGUGGGUAGCAAACAGG
rnacentral:rRNA from 1 species